rnacentral:tRNA from 1 species
GCAGCCGUGGCCUACAGGUUAGGGCUUUGGAUUUGUAAUCGGAGGGUUGCCGGUUCGAACCCUGACCAGUAGGA